GUCAGCGUGGCCGAGUGGUUAAGGCGCUUGACUUGAAAUCAAGUGGGUAUACCCGCGCAGGUUCGAGUCCUGCCGCUGACG
rnacentral:tRNA from 1 species